UUUCCUUCAUUUUCAUUGAACAGUAAGAUUAUUAAGUGGAACUGAGUUGCAGAAUCUGAGAAGUUGUAUGCAAAAAUUACAGGUACAGAAUCGGAACCUUGCACAGUCAAAUAGUCAAUUGUUAGCGGAGCUUAAUAUAGGGGAGAGAAAAGGUGAAAGCUCUGCAACAGGACCUUGUAUGCAAGGAUGCUCUACUUAAAGCCAAAAACCCCGGAAAAGAGGGAAAAGCGGAUAUCAACUUCCAAAACACAAGCACACAUGGUGUAGAGCAGGCUGCCGAUGAAUGCACGACUAAUGCUAACAUAAGACGUAAUGCUAGAAGCCAAGCUCUGGGCCUUUUAACUACAAGCCGAAGAGGUGGAGAUAAAGAGAGGGAUGAAAAUAAAGGGUCAGCUAUAAUAGUAUAUCAUAAAUAUACGUAGUUCGGACGUUGUUUGAGACGGCAAUCUGGUAGGGUUAAAUCCAAAGAGGCAGAAGCAAGAGCAGAGAAUCUAUUUGAGAUUGAUGAUCUCAACUUUGUGCCCAGUUAUCCGCUUGGAGAUGGUCCAACUUCAUUAGUCUCAAUGGAAGAAACCUGUAACCCAAAAGCUGAAAAAAGAUGUUCAAUUGAAAGGUCACUACCAUCACGCAAAGCAGUUGAGAAAGUGCAAUCAUACAAAGAAAUUCCGAUUAAUAUCAAAAUGAGCAGAAAAGAUUGAAUGAACAUCAAUCAUUCCCAGCCGCUAGUUCAUAUUUCUGAUUUCUUCAUUGUCUGUAGAACUU